rnacentral:rRNA from 1 species
UGGGGAAUAUUGGGCAAUGGGCGAAAGCCUGACCCAGCAACGCCGCGUGAAGGAAGAAGGUUUUCGGAUUGUAAACUUCUGUCCUCAGGGAAGAAGGAAGUGACGGUACCUGAGGAGGAAGCCACGGCUAACUACGUGCCAGCAGCCGCGGUAAUCCGUAGGGGGCGAGCGUUAUCCGGAUUUAUUGGGUUUAAAGGGUGCGCAGGCGGGAGAUUAAGUCGGCGGUGAAAUUUUGCAGCUCAACUGUAAAAGUGCCUUCGAAACUGGUUUCCUUGAGUGUAGAUGAAGUAGGCGGAAUUUGUGGUGUAGCGGUGAAAUGCAUAGAUAUCACGAGGAACUCCGAUUGCGAAGGCAGCUUACUAAGCUACUACUGACGCUCAGGCACGAAGGCGUGGGGAUCAAACAGG